rnacentral:lncRNA from 1 species
UCUGGAUAUUUUUUGUAUUUCCAAAAUAUGUAAUAUUCUUUAGAAAUGGUUGGGAUUAUGACUUCUCUCUACAUUUACAGUAAAAAAUGGAUUUAGAAAACAAUUAUAUUUGAAAUAUCUUCACAUCACAGGUAAAGCUACGAGCUUUGAGUACUUUUUACCAGACUCUUGGAAUAGAUCUUGGAAUGGAACUAUAGAAUUAGUGAUGGAGACAGAAAGGAGGAUAUUACAAAAACUUGAAUAACUUAUGAAAUCUUUACAUAUCCACACACACACAUACAAUAUUAUAUCUGACAAUCUUCAUUGAAUGAAGACCAGUCUUCAGUGAAAUGCUCAAUACACACACACACACACACACACACACACACACACACACACACACACACACACAAGCAUAUACUGUACAUUGAAUGCCAUAUGUAAUUGGAAUAGUCUUUCUGAAAUCAAUAACAGGCCUAAAUAACUUCUAAUUUAAGCAUACUUAAUAGAACUGAAUCUCUUACCCACAGACAUUCUUACUUUACAAAAGAAGACUAUAAUAUAUACCUUUAAUAGAAAACCUUCCAAUUAGAUUAAUUAAUCCUCGAUAGUAGAUAUAUGUAGAAUGAGAAUGCAGAUGCUUGAAAAUAUAAUACCUAUGAUUAAAGAUCGAAGCCAUUUAUUAUUAUGGAUAAAUACUUGGAAAGCAGAUGUAAAGUGGUGAUAAUGAAAGUGACACAGACAUUAAAUGAAUUGAUUCUAUAGUAUUACUAUGAAGCAAGGUUCCAAGUUUGUUUUGGGGUUUUUUUUUUUUUCAGUUCACUGAUAAUGAUUACUACACCUCAAUUAUACAACCAAUAUAAAUUACUGCAGAUGAAUAAUCAAAACUAUUGCUGUUACAGGAUUUGAAAUUACACUUUGAUUAAUUUCUCUAUCAAUAAAGACAAGAAACCCUCUGCAACAUAUUCUAGUGUGAAUAUAAGAGAUAGUGACUUUGCUGGAGUUCCUACCUCUUUGGACUAUUCUUAUUACAUAGAAAGAAGGAUUUUUAUAAUUCAGGGUGUAUUAUAUAACACCAAUGGUCUCUUAGCACUCGUCAAAUGUAAUUUAUUAACUACUGAUAGAAUUAAGAACGAUCUUCACAUUUUCUUUUAAAGCUAAUGUUAACACAAUUGACUUCCUGGAUAUAACGUAUAAUCUAGUUGUUUCAAAUAAGCAUAUUGCGAACAUAAUUAGUCAUUAGAUUCUAUGAAUAAAUCAUAAUAGAUGGACCAACCAUCCUAGAAAUAUAGGUAAACGUAAAGAAUAUGUCAAGAUUCUCCAGCAUACAUGCUAAGGAAUAAAUUAUUAAUUUCUAUUCAACUUGUAGCAGUGAGCCCAUAGUAAAAAGUAGAUUUCAAGAUAAAAUAUCUUAAAUGCUAAUUUGUAAUGGUACAAGACACCCUUGAAAUAGAUAUAGGGAAAUUUGUUGAUAUAUUCCACUCAAUAAUUUGGUAAUAGCAGCAAUAGCAGCCAAGAUAUUGUUUUCAUAUUCGAUAAGCAUUUCCCCUUCAUCACAAUUACCAUAAAAUAUUCGAUAAAGACACAGUACACCUAUUCUACUACAAAAUAUAGCCUUUUUUAAAAUAACUAAAUUAAAUUAAAAUAGACCCCGCUUUACAGUAAUUACAUUGCACCAACUCUUAUAACCACCUUAUUAAUCUGAAUUGCUUAUCUAAAAGAAUAAUGUAUAAGUGCUCAGUCAAAUUAACUACUUCUCAUGAAGCUUACUUUAGCAUAACCAGAAAUAAUCCUGUGAGCACACUUUCUCUUCCUGGGAAAAAAAAUUUGAUUUGAUUACCUGGUAACUUACAAAGGAAUAAAAGAAGAAUAUUUCAACCUAACCAAAACUAAGAAUAUAAACUAAUAUACUCAAAAUACUCUAGGAGCACAUGAAAUUUUGUUUGGUAAGG